CUUAUGCAAAACAAUAAUGCUGCCUAGUCAAAAAGGGAACACUUCACCAGCUUGCUAUUUGAAAGACAAGGAAAGGACUGUUAAAAAGAAAAGUCUGCUUCAAUCCAAAGAGCCCUGGAAGAACUAGUUGAAGACACCCUUUGGACAAGUCCAAGUGGUUAUGCCAUGCCAAAGAGCCGAGUCCUUCAGCACUGAGCCAACUUGAAGUGGCCUAGGAGCUUGAUUCAAGUUCACUAUGAGGCAACCCUAUUCCCUGAAACACAAUAAUAUGGCCUAUUAACCCUACAAUGUCCUCUAAAUUUCAAGUGAAAGGAAGAAAGUCAAUCCAUGCAGCAAACUUCAUUGCUGGCUUAUUUUAAGAAACUGCCAUAGUCAUCCCAGCAUUCAACAACCACCACCUUGAUCAAUCAACAGCCAUCAAUAUGGAGGCAAGACCAUCCGCCAGCAAAAAGAUUAUGACCUGCUGAAGGCUCAGAUGAGGGUUAGCAUUUUGUAGCAAUAAAUCAUUUUAAACUAA